UCUCUAGAGAUCAAGCCUACAGCGAUUUCUGACAUGGAGUAAUUCACCUAUAAUUUACGUUUAGAGAUAAGACAUCAAAACGGAUCAUAGAGUUUCCUAUCAGAAUCCACGACCAUUAUGAAUGUCAUUGUGUAGAUCUACUCUCAAAUACAUCCUAACAUUGCUAUAUACCCCUGAAGAAGUCCAACUUAAAGGACGAAACGCGUUGGGAGAUAUAAACGACCUGAAAAUAUACAGUGGAUCUUUUUUGUGAGCACACUCCCGUAAAGGCAAAGUGCAUGAACAUCCAGUCUCUGUAUCAAUAGACAGAUUUUCAUUCAUUUGCUGUAAGAAGAAUGCCCAAAGUUACUCAAUAAACCUGCAAGCAUUCAAUGUUUACCUACUGAACCCAUUAUUGAUAUACUCUACUUGGUCAACAUGGUUGUUAAAUUGGAAUCAGAAUACAUUGACAACAUUUAUCUUUGUAGAGCAGAAAGGAUGAAGAUGCAGAGCUGGCCCUAACAAAUUUGAUGCACUU